UACGGAGGGGGCAAGCGUUGUUCGGAAUCACUGGGCUUAAAGGGCGCGUAGGCGGGCGGCUCAGUCCGUGGUGAAAUCCUCCGGCUCAACCGGAGAACGGCCACGGAUACUGGUCGUCUCGAGGGAGGCAGGGGCGUGCGGAACUAUCGGUGGAGCGGUGAAAUGCGUUGAUAUCACUUGGAACGCCAAUGGUGAAGACAGCUCGCUGGGGGUGUCCUGACGCUGAGGCGCGAAAGCCAGGGGAGCGAACGGG
rnacentral:rRNA from 1 species